AGACUUACCUGGCAGGGGAGAUCCCAUGAUCAUUGUGAUGGUUUUCCCAAGGUGAGAUCAGUCCACUGCACUCAGGCAGACCUCUGCAAGUUUCCCUAAUGUGAGAAACAUGACUGCACAGUUUUGCGGUAAUGAAGGAUUGUGUUUAAACUUUUCCCCA
rnacentral:snRNA from 14 species